CUCCAAAGUAUCAAGUUCAGUUCAGUGUAAGUUUGCUGUUUUGUAAAGUAAAUUUUGGGACACUGAAAGAGGCUAGGAGAAAGAACUGGAUACAACAAUACCAAAAAAA